AUGUAACCUACCUUAAUCUGGGGGAUAGCCUCUCGAAAGAGAGAUUAACACCGCAUAACAUCACGCUACGGCAUUGUAAUGUGAUCAAAUAUUUAUAGGAUUAAGAUGGGCAUGCGGAACAUUAGCUAGUUGGUAAGGUAAUGGCUUACCAAGGCUACGAUGUUUAGGGGAUCUGAGAGGAUGACCCCCCACACUGGUACUGAGACACGGACCAGACUCCUACGGGAGGCAGCAGUAAGGAAUAUUGGUCAAUGGGCGGAAGCCUGAACCAGCCAUGCCGCGUGCAGGAAGACGGCCCUACGGGUUGUAAACUGCUUUUGUACCGGAAUAAACCUUGAUUCGUGAAUCAAGCUGAAUGUACGGUAAGAAUAAGGAUCGGCUAACUCCGUGCCAGCAGCCGCGGUAAUACGGAGGAUCCGAGCGUUAUCCGGAUUUAUUGGGUUUAAAGGGUGCGUAGGCGGCUUUUUAAGUCAGGGGUGAAAGACGGUAGCUCAACUAUCGCAGUGCCUUUGAUACUGAAGAGCUUGAAUACACUUGAGGUAGGCGGAAUGUGACAAGUAGCGGUGAAAUGCAUAGAUAUGUCACAGAACACCAAUUGCGAAGGCAGCUUACUAAAGUGUGAUUGACGCUGAGGCACGAAAGCGUGGGGAUCAAACAGGAUUAGAUACCCUGGUAGUCCACGCCCUAAACGAUGAAUACUCGAUGUUGGCGAUAUACGGUCAGCGUCUAAGCGAAAGCGUUAAGUAUUCCACCUGGGGAGUACGCCCGCAAGGGUGAAACUCAAAGGAAUUGACGGGGGCCCGCACAAGCGGAGGAGCAUGUGGUUUAAUUCGAUGAUACGCGAGGAACCUUACCCGGGCUUGAAAGUUAGUGAAUGAUCCAGAGACGGAUCAGCUCUUCGGAGCACGAAACUAGGUGCUGCAUGGCUGUCGUCAGCUCGUGCCGUGAGGUGUUGGGUUAAGUCCCGCAACGAGCGCAACCCCUAUGUUUAGUUGCCAGC
rnacentral:rRNA from 1 species